rnacentral:rRNA from 1 species
GACGAACGCUGGCGGCGUGCUUAACACAUGCAAGUCGAACGAAGUGGCGAACGGGUGAGUAAUACGUGGGUAACCUGCCCUCCUUUUUGGGAUAAGACUUGGCAACGGGGUCUAUUACCGAAUAAAGGGGGAUGGGCUCGCGGCCUAUCAGCUUGUUGGUGGGGUGAUGGCCUACCAAGGCGGUGACGGGUAGCCGGCCUGAGAGGGUGACCGUCCACAUGGGGACUGGGACACGUCCCAGACUCCUACGGGAGGCAGCAGUGGGGGGUAAUGCACAAUGGUCGAAAGCCGGAUGCCGCGACGCCGCGUGGGGGUUGAAGGCUUUCGGGUUGUAAACCUCAUUCGCUAUCGAAGAGGUAAUUGGAGAAGAAGCGCCGGCUAACUACGUGCCAGGCGCCGCGGGAAUAC